UACGGAAGGGGGCUAGCGUUGCUCGGAAUUACUGGGCGUAAAGGGCGCGUAGGCGGCACUGUUAGUCAGGCGUGAAAGUCCUGGGCUCAACCUGGGAACUGCGCUUGAUACGGCAGAGCUAGAGGAUGGAAGAGGCUCGCGGAAUUCCCAGUGUAGAGGUGAAAUUCGUAGAUAUUGGGAAGAACACCGGUGGCGAAGGCGGCGAGCUGGUCCAUUACUGACGCUGAGGCGCGACAGCGU
rnacentral:rRNA from 1 species